AGUCACUCUCUUGCUCUUCCUCUUCCUCCUGCUCUCUGCUCUCUCUGGAGCCACCAUGUGAUCCCGGGAAGAGGACACCAGCUGAAAGCAUCCUCGAAGAUAAGUCUUAUAAAAAAUAAUAUAGAUUUAUGAUAAUUAAGACUGAGCUAGCAUAUAAGAAAUCCUAGUCAAUUGGCCAGCAGCACUGUUAACUAAUAUAAGACUCUGUGUUUUUCUGGGUUCCCAUGUGGCAGCAGGGCUCAGGCGGAUGCAGUAAAGAUUUAUCAUUACACUAUCCCUUUUGAUUUUUCUUACACUUAGUUCUUGUAUUCCUAAGUGUUAGCAGCUUCUGUUAUUUAUCUUUGUGUAUGCAGACACUUGCUAAGGUUUUACAACAGAAAUAGUUUUCAAGCUGCAUUAUCAGUUUCUUCAGUGGGACUUCAUUCUCCUCACACUGUCCUGGAUGCCCAUUCAGAAACUAUGUUUCUGCAUACCUCACAUUCUUUGAAAAUGGCAAUGUCACUUUCAGUUCUGUCUGCAGUGUGUUUGUGUCAGGGCUGGUAACAGGGCUUCACGCUGCACACAGGUCCCGCUCUUCUCACAGUUAAUGCUUGCUCCUAUGUCUUUCGAAGAUCCAACUACUAAUUCCUCUUCACACAUUUCCUAUAGACUGAAAAUUUCAGGUAUGAAUAGGCUCAGACAUCAGGGAUUUUAUCUUUUUGAUUCAGUUUGGACGGUUGGUUUCCAGGAAUUCUGAGCAAUUGCCAUCUUGAAUUUCUAAGAUGGCAACUCCAGAUGUUUCCUUCUGGUUUCUUUCUUUUUCAAAAAAAUUUCUUUUAUGUGUUUCUUCAUUUUCUCUCAGAUUGGCUCAUUUAUUCUCUGUUGUUCUUGUGGGUUUUUCCACUUUAAAUUUUGUAGUUGUCAAUUUAUAGGCAUCUGGGGUUCAAGGCAACAUAAAAUAAGAAUUUUACUUGCAUGUACUAGAUUCUAGUAACUAAACUAAUAUACCAAAUUUACAACUGAGUUGGCUGAUUUUAGGGUAAUUGCACACAAGCUAGAGUCAUUUGGGAAGAGACUCCCAUUUUAGAAAAUGACUCCAUGAGAUACUGCUAUAGGGUAUUUUCUUAAUUAGUGAUUGAUGUAGACAGUCCAUUCCAUUGUGGGUUGUGUUAUCCCUGAACUGGUGGUCCUGGAUUGUGCAAGAAAGCAGGCUGAACAAGCCAGUAAGCAGCACUUCUCCUUGGUUUCUGCAUUAGUUCUUGGCCUCAGGUUCCUGCCGUCUCAAUGGACUACAUGUGAUCCAGGACAUAUAAGCCUCCCCAAAUUGCUUUUUGUGAAACGUUCCCCUCUGACCCACCAGCCAGCUCCCAAAUUAUGACAUGGAGACCACCCAUCAAUAAUGAAAUCUCGGCCUAUAGCUCAGGUCUGUUGCUUACCAGCUCCAACACCUCAAAUUAACCCAUUCACAUUAAUCCAUAUUCUUUCCCAUGGUGCUACCUCACCUUCAUCUUGCACCUCCACUUUCCUCUCUGUGUUUCCUGGCAUCUGGAUUCCUUCUCCUCUUCCUUUCUCUCCCAGGAAAUUCUGCCUCUACCUCCUGCCUAGCUAUUGGCCCCUCAGCUUUUUCUUAUAGCAAUCACAGCAAAUACAGCUUCACACAAUGUGCAAAUACCCCACGACAGCUUUUGGUCAUGGCUUUUUAUUACAACCACAUAAACCUAUCUAAAACAACAGUAGUCUAGAAAGUCCCCCUGUGAUUCAUGGUUAAAAUAUCUUAAAAUACUUCAGCUCCUUCAUGGAACCUUCAGUAAAUUAGGAGGAAGGCCAGAGAGAUUUAGAUAGAAGCUAAAUGCUAGUUUUUCAGAAAAGUCUGCCUCACUCAUUCUCUGAUACAGGACUUUUAAGACGUCCGGACUUCCUCUUUGUACACAGUGAGCCUUUUAAGUGUUCUUUUUCUCAGUACAGCAAAAUUAUUUAGGACAUUGUGAAAUAACGGUGAGAUAGUAAUCAUCUAUAUUGGCACAAUGUCUUCUAUGUAGAAAAGCCUGCCAAGUGCUUGCAACUUGAAGGGAAUUGUUGUUGGUAACUGAAAAGUGUCUUUCUGAAAUGUGAUUUUACCAUCCGAGGUAACAUUUUAAAGAAAGGGGCUCUUCUUAGUGAACUGUGAAGAAACCAAGGACUGUGACCCACUGGAAUCUUUCCUGUAGAAUGUCGUCAAAAUUCUACUGGACAGCCGAGUUGGGUUUCCUGUGUUGCCUUAUGGCUGCAAGCCAUCACCGAAUUAUAGAUAGCUAGAGCAUUCAUGCCCUUGGAGAUGGCAUUUGUCAUGUGAUUCUCGGAGGGAGUUCCUUGAAGACUUCCCAAAGGUUAAAGGUAUAAAUAAAUAAAUAAAUAAAUAAAUAAAAAGAAUUUGACAUAAAAUUAACUUGAUUGUUUACAGUUUCUAAAUGGGCUAAAAUAUGCUGAAAAAUGAAUAAAAUGACAGGAAGUGUGUGGCUCCUCAAGGCUGUUAAUACAAACGAACAGGGAACUAGACUUGAGAAUAAUAUAAAUAUUGCCCUUAACUGGACAGUAAAUUUUACUAGAUGUAACUUAUCACCUCUAUAAAGGCAUUCAAGAUAAUUACUUCAUGCACAUUUCUGACUUUUAGAAAUUAUAAGAUAACCCCAAAACAUCAAGCCAGGUAAGGCUGCAGAAGCAAAUACACGAUUUUCUAGGCCAGUGUUUAAAUUCUAAACACAGUGGCACCCUUUACUUGGCAGUCAGAGUCCUGGUCACGCAGUCCAAACCCACAGCUGGGAGCCAGAACAUAAACACAGAGCCUCCUCCAAGUGUUCACGGUCCACGUGAGAAAGCCAGAGCUUUGUUGUUGGUAGAGACAGCAACCUUCAUGCUUAGCAGAUAGUCGAUUGCACAAGUGUUUAUCAUAACAGAAAGCCUGCUUUAUUAGGCAAAGUCUCCUUGCUGCUAUAAGAUGGAAAGAUGAAACUUGCUGAACUUCAUUUUCUUCAGUAUACUGAGUUUCUCUUGGGUCAAAUAAAAUCUAUCACAUCAUUUUAAAAUUCGGCAUUAAUUGAGAAGCUAAAAGUAUGUUAAAUGUGGAUCAGAACUGGUAGAUAACAACUUUGGUAACAGAAGGCAAUUCAUUCAUUGAACAAACAUUUUCUUGGGUUCAUGCCAUGCCUGCUGAGCUUUCUAAGAGGAUACAGCAGUGGACAAAAUCUUUGUCUUUGUGAAACUUGUUCUGUGACAUAGUAGAGAGAGGCGACAAUAGACAUAGUAAAUGAAUUGGUGUAAUGGCAGAAACCAGGGCAUGGUAGAAGGCAAGAAGCGACACAGGAGCAGCUCCGGGUUGAACAUAGUUUUUGCUUCUGUUCUGCAGACAUGAGAAGUUGUUGCUGGCUAGAGUGAGACAGAACCACAGUGCCAUGGCCACGUGCUGAUGGUGUGCAUAUUGUGGCCAUUGCCAGGACCCAUGCUUUCACCUGGAGUUUGAUGAGAAGGCCAUGGCAGGUUUUGAGUUGACACACCAGAGAAAAUUCAGCAUGGAUUCUAUGUGAAGAAGGCUUGGUAAAAAGAUCACUGUCAGCUGGACAGUAAUUAUAGGAAGAAAUUAUAGGAAGAAAAGAAUUAUGGCCACUGAUGCUGUGAGUAUUUGUGCAGUAUGUGCCAGCCUGAGUGGAAACUAUGAGAAUAAUAUAUACCAAGUGCCAGGUCUAGACAACAGAUACCAAGAUUGACUUUUGCUAUUACAAGUUGCAUUUCUCCAAAGAAAUCUGCUUUUAUAUGUUCUACUCAAUAGCUGGAGAACAUAGCAGCCAUUCAUCCCUGUGCAUGGUCAGCACAUUUAUUACUUAUGACAGCAUCUUUCAAGCCCUUUGGGAAGAUCAUCACAGGACCAGGAUGAUGUCUCAGAGGAAGAAACACUUGCUCUGCAAGCCCAACUACUGGAGUUCUAAUCUCUUUAACUCAGAUGAGGUAGUUCAUACCCACAAUCCCAGAAUUCCUACUGGCAAAUAUAAGGAGACAGGAGAAUCACCCAGAAAUUGGCGGCAGCUAGAUUUCUUUGUGGUGAAGCUUCAGAAACAAAAAGAGAUUAUUCCUCAACCAAGAUAGUGAGAAUCAAAUCCUCAUAGUUUUCAUAUGAACUCCACACUUGCACACAUAUGGGUUAAAAACUAUUAUAAGGGUUGAUUAAUAAUGAUAUGUAUUAAAAUAAUAUACCAUUCUGUCUUAAGUGCAUUACUUUGUCUGAACACUGUAGAUAGUGUAAGCUGGUGACACACACACACACACACACACACACACACACACACACACACACACACACACACGGGUGUUUGUAUCUUUGGUUUCAUGUUAAGCCUAGGUAGUUUGAAGAGCAAUUUUUCCUUGUGUGUUUCAGAAUCUCUUGCAAUCUCAACAUAAACUAGUAUUAUAUUUGCUAAU
ensembl:lncRNA